rnacentral:siRNA from 1 species
UCCAUGUACUGCCCGUAUGUUG